rnacentral:rRNA from 1 species
AGCGAACGCUGGCGGCAGGCCUAACACAUGCAAGUCGAGCGGAUGACGGGAGCUUGCUCCUUGAUUCAGCGGCGGACGGGUGAGUAAUGCCUAGGAAUCUGCCUGGUAGUGGGGGACAACGUUUCGAAAGGAACGCUAAUACCGCAUACGUCCUACGGGAGAAAGCAGGGGACCUUCGGGCCUUGCGCUAUCAGAUGAGCCUAGGUCGGAUUAGCUAGUAGGUGAGGUAAUGGCUCACCUAGGCGACGAUCCGUAACUGGUCUGAGAGGAUGAUCAGUCACACUGGAACUGAGACACGGUCCAGACUCCUACGGGAGGCAGCAGUGGGGAAUAUUGGACAAUGGGCGAAAGCCUGAUCCAGCCAUGCCGCGUGUGUGAAGAAGGUCUUCGGAUUGUAAAGCACUUUAAGUUGGGAGGAAGGGCAGUAAGUUAAUACCUUGCUGUUUUGACGUUACCGACAGAAUAAGCACCGGCUAACUCUGUGCCAGCCGCCGCGGUAAGAC